GACGCGUCCAAACGAUUUCCAAUUUGUUUUUGUGAGUUUUUCUUAGAUUUUCGUGUAGUUUCUUGUUGAAUUUGUGCAAAUUUGUGUUUUAGCAAGUGUUAAGCUUAAUUUACAUGAAAGUUUUAUAAAUUUGUUAGAUUGUCACUGGAAAACGAAAGUGUAAACAGGACGCCAAGAUAUUUCACCAGGUGCGGAAGAGGAGAACAGGAAGGCUUAGUUAACAAUAAAUUGGAGCUAAAUUCCAUCUAUUAGUCUUCAGCCCAGGUGAACGUACAUCUACAUAUUUAUGAGUGAAGAAACCGUCUUAAGGGGAGCGUCUAAGCUUAAAAACGGAGAGGCGCGCGUCGAAUAAUUGAAGAGUGGAGCUUUCAACGGUUGCACACAAAAAGAAAGCACGCACACCAAGACGCUCGGGCUUCAUAUUUAUCACUUCACAGCUGCACACCUAUGAUCGAUGCAUAUCCAAGAUGGCCGCCAGCGCACUACGCCGACACGCGGGAAAUAUGGGCACGCGCAUCUUCACAAACAAGAAUUGUUUAUAUCUAAUCAUCAAAUUUAGGACACUGGAAUCUCACAAUUGCACUGCUAAACGAACGUGCUCACCCGUACACGAUAUUCGCCUAACUAAAUGCUAAAAAACUUAAAUGCAUUCAAAACUUGAAAGCCAUAAAACAUAUCUCCCCCAUUAUUAGUUUAUGGUUUGCGACUGUUACGGGGCUAUUAUGUUCUUAUUUUUCUGUGUGUACGGUGUUUGUUUUGAUUGUAUGAGGUGGACGGACGAGCCAAUUUAGGGUACCAUUACAAAAUGCUAUUGAGUGGGCCAUAGCUGUUUUACUAUUGUUCAAGGUCAUUUCAGUUAUGACUUCACUAAAAAGCAUUAUGUUUGCUUUGUCUUAGACCAAGUUUUUUUUCAUACUCACAAAUAGGUAGGUAUGUCUUCUUACGCUAAUGCUAUUUUAAGCCAAUUUAUAUUGAUAUUUAUUUACCAUAAAUCGUGAACAUUUUAGUAUUAACGAAAGCUUCAUUCUGUUAUUGUUUUAUUGAGUAUUUAUAAAUUCUUUACGUAACAUAUAUGUGACUAACAUAACCUUUUAAUAUAAUAAAUCAUAAUCCCAUUCCAUUUUAAAUGAAAGGCCAUAAAAAUAGAAUUUAUUGUACGCUUCAACAAUACAUCUGAGCUGGAAUUCCCUUGAAGUUUGUAAUGCAAGGCAUAUACGUGAAGUGGAGCAACCUUCAAGUCGAUCUCUCAUGAGUCACGGAUGCACGCAGCAUUCUAUAGUGAUAUAUUACGAUGGCUUAGCAUUGCGUUCUAAACUGUUGUUUUGGAAAACAAAUCAAUAUUUUAUGUUGCUUUUCCUGAUAUAUGACCUG